GACGUAGGGUGCGAGCGUUGUCCGGAUUUAUUGGGCGUAAAGAGCUCGUAGGCGGCUCGUCGCGUCGACCGUGAAAACCCGCGGCUUAACUGCGGGCUUGCGGUUGAUACGGGCGGGCUAGAGUUCGGUAGGGGAGACUGGAAUUCCUGGUGUAGCGGUGAAAUGCGCAGAUAUCAGGAGGAACACCGGUGGCGAAGGCGGGUCUCUGGGACGUGACUGACGCUGAGACGCGAAAGCGUGGGGAGCAAACAGG
rnacentral:rRNA from 1 species